UGUUUCUGUGUGUUAAAUAACUUUGAUUCCUUCCUAAGGCCUCCCUGGGAAAUAGAGGUGACAGCUACUCUCAGCAGUUGUUGCCCUGCAGGACUUCCUACGAGACAGAGGUGCUAGUUGCUCCCAGCUGAGUUUAUCAGUCCUGCAAUAAACUCUGCUUUGUUCUUCUUUGUGCUACAAAGCCGUUGCUUUGAAGCUAUACAACGUGUCCUAUUCGACGCCGUGCCUGGAGCAGAAGAAUCUAGAGUGUAGAUAACAUGUGUCUAGAUAGUGAAUGUCAUUAGCGCUGCAACUAUGUGAUGAAUUGUUUUCCCCCUCCCUUUGAGAAGUUGCAGCGCCCGGUGUAAGAGGGUUUCUAAAAGCAAUAAAAAGCGAGGAGGGGACAAAUGUGUUUCAGAGCGGUUGGAGAUUUGUAACUGUAAGCACGUCUCUGUCUGCUCUCCUCGCGAGAACAAAGAAUUUAACUCUCUCGUCUUUCCUGUGUUUGUUUAAAUUGUCUCUAAUAGGUAUUUAGACCUGACACUCCUCUACAACCGCUGAUCCUGAGCCUACCUGUCCGCCCUCCGACGUACUCCCUUUGCCUCCUGGAUCCCCGCUGUCAGACAAGACGACCACCUGGAACCUCUGAGAACUAAAACCCCGGACGCUGCAGUUACCCUCUCACUUCUCUAACCUGCCGAUCACAAUGAACUGUUUGUUCCCUGAACCAGCCUCUCUCCCUGGACCCGACCCGAGCCAACUAUUCCUGCCAGCAGUGUUUUCAAUAAAUUUAUCUUUAUUU